CAACCUCUCCAGUUCCAUCUGCAUCCCUAUUGUGCCUCCCAAAGAUGUCCCUGUGGAUCUGCACUUGAAGGCAUUCGUGGGUUACAGAAGCAGCACCCAGUUUCAUGUAUUUGAAUCGACAAGACAGCUCCCUCGAUUCUCCAUGUAUGCGCUGACCAGCCUGGACCCUGCCAGUGAGCCAAUCAGUUAUGUUAACUUUACCAUUGCAGAACGGGCACAGAGGCAGUAAAACUAGAAAGAAGGAGAACUCUUCCCUCAAGAAUGGCUGUACCUUCAUAUCUAGAGGCACAUUAAAAAAAAGAACGUCUGUACCUUAAAAAUGGAGGUCAUUUCAUUGUGUUCAUUUUCAAGGUUGUUGUAUGGCUCGGUCAGAACUUUCUGUUACCAGAAGACACUCACAUUCAGAAUGCUCCAUUUCAAGUGUGUUUCACAUCUUUACGGAAUGGCGGCCACCUGCAUAUAAAAAUAAAACUUAGUGGAGAGAUCACUAUAAAUACUGAUGAUAUUGAUUUGGCUGGUGAUAUCAUCCAGUCAAUGGCAUCAUUUUUUGCUAUUGAAGACCUUCAAGUAGAAGCGGAUUUUCCUGUC
rnacentral:lncRNA from 1 species